AGCUUUGCACAGUGGCAGUAUCGUAGUCAAUGAGGUUUAUCUGAGGCGCGAUUAGUGCUAAUUGAAAACUUUUCCCAAUACCCCGCCAUGACGACUUGAGAUAUAGCUGGCAUUGGCAAUUUUUGACAGUCUCUACGGAGA
rnacentral:snRNA from 1 species